rnacentral:rRNA from 1 species
AGAGUUUGAUCCUGGCUCAGGAUGAACGCUAGCUACAGGCUUAACACAUGCAAGUCGAGGGGCAGCAUGUCAGUGGCUUGCCACUGAUGAUGGCGACCGGCGCACGGGUGAGUAACGCGUAUCCAACCUUCCCCCAAGUAGGGAAUAGCCCGGCGAAAGUCGGAUUAAUGCCCUAUGUUUUCCUUAUGUGAGCAUUCUGUGAGGAACAAAGAUUGAUCGCUUGGGGAUGGGGAUGCGUCUGAUUAGAUGGUAGGCGGGGCAACGGCCCACCUAGUCCGCGAUCAGUAGGGGUUCUGAGAGGAAGGUCCCCCACAUUGGAACUGAGACACGGUCCAAACUCCUACGGGAGGCAGCAGUGAGGAAUAUUGGUCAAUGGCCGGGAGGCUGAACCAGCCAAGUAGCGUGCGGGAUGACGGCCCUAUGGGUUGUAAACCGCUUUUGCCGGGGAAUAAAGUGGCCCACGCGUGGGUUUUUGCAUGUACCCGGAGAAUAAGGACCGGCUAAUUCCGUGCCAGCAGCCGCGGUAAUACGGAAGGUCCGGGCGUUAUCCGGAUUUAUUGGGUUUAAAGGGAGCGCAGGCCGUCGGCUAAGCGUGACGUGAAAUGCUGUGGCUCAACCUUAGCAGUGCGUCGCGAACUGGCCGGCUUGAGUGCACUCGAGGGACGCGGAAUUCGUGGUGUAGCGGUGAAAUGCUUAGAUAUCACGAAGAACUCCGAUUGCGAAAGGCAGCGUCCCCAGUGUGUAACUGACGCUAAAGCUCGAAAGUGCGGGUAUCGAACAGGAUUAGAUACCCUGGUAGUCCGCACGGUAAACGAUGGAUGCCCGCUGUUGGCGACACACUGUCAGCGGCCAAGCGAAAGCGUUAAGCAUCCCACCUGGGGAGUACGCCGGCAACGGUGAAACUCAAAGGAAUUGACGGGGGCCCGCACAAGCGGAGGAACAUGUGGUUUAAUUCGAUGAUACGCGAGGAACCUUACCCGGGCUUGAACUGCAGGUGAACGAUCCAGAGAUGGUGAGGUCAGCAAUGACUCCUGCGGAGGUGCUGCAUGGUUGUCGUCAGCUCGUGCCGUGAGGUGUCGGCUUAAGUGCCAUAACGAGCGCAACCCCUGUCUCCAGUUGCCAUCAGGCGAUGCUGGGCACUCUGGAGAUACUGCCACCGUAAGGUGCGAGGAAGGUGGGGAUGACGUCAAAUCAGCACGGCCCUUACGUCCGGGGCUACACACGUGUUACAAUGGGUGGUACAGAGAGUCGGUCGCGUGCAAAUGCGAUCCAAUCCUUAAAGCCGCCCUCAGUUCGGAUUGGGGUCUGCAACCCGACCCCAUGAAGCUGGAUUCGCUAGUAAUCGCGCAUCAGCCAUGGCGCGGUGAAUACGUUCCCGGGCCUUGUACACACCGCCCGUCAAGCCAUGAAAGCCGGGGGCGCUUGAAGUCCGUGACCGCGAGGAUCGGCCUAGAGCGAAACUGGUAAUUGGGGCUAAGUCGUAACAAGGUAGC